GCCUGGGUGGCUCAGUCGGUUGAGCACCCGACUUCAGCUCAGGUCACGAUCUCGCGGUCCGCGAGUUCGAGCCCCGCAUCGGGCU
rnacentral:tRNA from 1 species